GACGAACGCUGGCGGCGUGCCUAAUACAUGCAAGUAGAACGCACAGUUUAUACCGUAGCUUGCUACACCAUAAACUGUGAGUUGCGAACGGGUGAGUAACGCGUAGGUAACCUGCCUGGUAGCGGGGGAUAACUAUUGGAAACGAUAGCUAAUACCGCAUAAUAUUAAUUAUUGCAUGAUAAUUGAUUGAAAGAUGCAAUUGCAUCACUACCAGAUGGACCUGCGUUGUAUUAGCUAGUAGGUGAGGUAACGGCUCACCUAGGCGACGAUACAUAGCCGACCGGGGAGGGUGGACGGCCACACUGGGACUGAGACACGGCCCAGACUCCUACGGGAGGCAGCAGUAGGGAAUCUUCGGCAAUGGACGAAAGUCUGACCGAGCAACGCCGCGUGAGUGCAGAAGGUUUUCGGAUCGUAAAGCUCUGUUGUAAGAGAAGAACGGGUGUGAGAGUGGAAAGUUCACACUGUGACGGUAUCUUACCAGAAAGGGACGGCUAACUACGUG
rnacentral:rRNA from 1 species